rnacentral:rRNA from 1 species
UACGGAGGGUGCAAGCGUUAUCCGGAUUUACUGGGUUUAAAGGGCGCGUAGGCGGGUUCCCAAGUCGGUGGUGAAAUCUUUCGGCCCAACCGGAAAACAGCCGCCGAUACUGGGAGUCUUGAGGGAGGUAGGGGUCGAUGGAACUUCCGGUGGGGCGGUGAAAUGCGUGAGAUAUCGGAAGGAACGCCGGUGGCGAAGCGAUCGACUGGACCUUUACUGACGCUGAGGCGCGAAAGCCAGGGGAGCAAACGGG